rnacentral:lncRNA from 10 species
UUUUGAGAUGGAGUCGCACUGUCGCCCAGGCCAGAGUGCAGUGGCAUGAUCUUGGCUCACUGCAACCUCCGCCUCUUGAGUUCAAGCGAUUCUCCUGUCUCAGCCUCCUGAGUAGCUUGGACUACUGGCGUGCGCCACCAUGCCCGGCUAAUUUUUGUAUUUUUGGUGGAGAUGGGGUUUCAUUAUGUUGGUCAGGCUGGUCUUGAACUCCUGAUCUCAAGUGAUCUGCCCACCUCGGCCUCCCAAAGUGCUGGGAUUACAGGCGUGGGCCACUGCGCCUGGCCAACAUGUAUUUAUUUUGCCAUCAAUCUUGAAGGAAAUUUUCACUGGGUAUAGAAUUUUGGGUUGUAGGGAUUUUCUCUUGGAUCAUUGUGAUGAUCACUCCACUGUAUUCUGGCUUCCACUGUUGCUUUUGAGAAAUUGCCUGUUGGUCUAACAGGUGCUUCUUUGACAGUAAUCACUCUUUUUUCCUUUGGCUACUUUUAAGAGCUUCUGUUUGUCUUGGAGGUAGGCAUCCUCACUAAAGUGUAUCUAAGUAUGUGCUUUUAUUUAUCAUGGUUGAGAUUCUUUGGGCUUCUUAAGCUGCGGAUAGGUGCAUCUCAUCAGUUCUCUUUGAAAAUCGCCUCCACUGUCUUGUCUCUCCUCUCCUAGAGCUUCACUUAGGUUCUGAUCAUAUUCAAGUUCUCACUGUUCUCCAUGUCUCAACUUCUUUCCUGCAUUUUCCAUUUCCUUGUUGCUGUGGGCCACAUUCUGGACAAUUUCAUUUCACAUAUGUUUCAGCUCACUGAUUCUUCCUCCAGCUGGUCUAAUCUGCUAUUAAGCCUGUCCACUACACUUUUAUUAUUAAAGAUUGUACUUAAUUCUGUAAGUUCUAUUUGGUUCUUUUUUAGAUCUUCCAGGUCUUUUUAUAGUUUCCUGUUCCUUGCAUAUGUUUUUAAAGUUUGUCUUUUUUUUUCCUUUAAACAUAGGAAGAAUAAUUGUUUUGUAAUCUCUCUGAUAAUUUCAGCAUCUUAAGUCUUUGUGGGUCUGUUUUUGGCUGAUUCUUGCUGGUAGGACCUUGCUUAGUUAUUUUUGAACUGUGCCAUUUUCCCAGGAAAGUUAUUUGUGGGAGUUCUUUGAGGCUUAGGAUGAAGGUAUAUGUUUCAUGCCAGCAGAAACAGAAGGUAGAUCUAUUUAGAAAGAACAGUGUAUUCUGAAACUUAAUAGGAAUGAUUUGUAAUUAUAGUUUCACAGUCCUUGUUCCUG